CACAAAGGCAUGGGGAGAACAUACAAACUCCAAACAGAAAUGAUCCAGAUUGCUCUACCUGGAAGUCGACCCAGAACCCACUGAUUCACUGUGCUGCCCCAAUUAAUGAGGUCCUUCCGAUGGAAACCUGUUUACCUGCCCGAGGUUAAGGAAUGAAGUCGAGACUGCCGUGCCAACAAUGCUGCUCCUGCCGGAUGUGACGGGAGGUGGCGUGUUUGCACCAAGAAUGUCAAGAACUCACUACAGACUUUAUUACAGACUGGACUGAAUAAUAACUUAUUUAUUAUUGCUAGUUAUAACUUUUAGUUCAUUUUAAUUCUGUGUGUGUAUGAUUUGUGUAAAUACUAUUUAUUUAAAGUAUCCUCCAGACCACCCAAGAAGGAUGGGCCCUGCUGAGUCUGGUUCCUCUCAAGGUUUCUUCCUGUAAUUUUCAGGGAGUUUUUCCUUGCCACUGUCGCCCUCGGCUUGCUCAUCAUGGGUUUUUGUAUCUGUUGGUCCUGGAUUUUGUAAAGUUGCUUUGAGACAAUGUUUAUUGUAAAAAGCGCUAUAUAAAUAAAGUUGACUUGACUUGAAAA